rnacentral:piRNA from 1 species
UCACAUUUUAUGUGCCACUGUGUUUGAUG